CUGAUUUGUCUUUGUGCAGUUCUGGAAAUGAAGAUGAUUUUAUUUCAAAGAAAGUGUUUGACAAGCUUCACAAUGAGGUAAUUUGUGUUUAAGUUUUGAAUUGCUUUUUUUUUCAUAUAUAAUUUAUUUAUUUUGAAGCAGGUUCUUCAAGAGAUGAAAUUCAUCCGUGGCCUAGUAUCAACAAGGUGUGAUGAGAUAAUGAAUGCUAAAAGUGAGAUCAAGGUACAAUAAUUUUUAAAAAUAUUUUGAAUGUUGAAUACAUAUACAACAUAUGUAUUUUACGAUUUAUGAUAUACAUAUAUAAAAAACAGUGUCUUUUUUUAUGGAUAAUAUGUAUUUUUUUCUAAAUGCUAAUAUGUAUAUUCAUAUAUACAUAUGAAUAUACAGUUGUAUUAUGUAUUUUUUCAAAUCGUAUAUACAUAUGAAUAUACAGUUGGUAAUAUGUAUUUUUAUAAAUACUAAUAUGUAUAUUUAUAUAUACAUAUGAAUAUACAGUUGGUAAUAUGUAUAACACAUGAUGUGUUAAAUACGUGUUCUGCAUAUACAGUUGUAUUUGAAUAAAUACAUGUGCAAUAUAUACUAUAUUUUUACAUUUGUAUUAUGUAUUUUUUCAAAUCAUGAUAUGUAUAAUCAUAUAUACAUAUGUUGGGCAAUUAUAAAUAGUUAGUUUAAUAUUUUUCUUGAUAUUUUUAAAUAUUUUUUGAACUUCAAGAAAAAAGAUAAGGACAAUCAAGUUGACAAUCCACCCAUGGGUGAAGUUGACAAGGCUACACCACACCAUGAAUUCACUUCAAAUUUUGUGCAUGAUUUUUAUAAUAAUUCUAAAGGCACAUUGGUAAAUUAAUUGUUUACAUUCAUAUGUAUUUUAUUUAUACAAUGUGAAUUUAUGUUUACAUAUAAGAAUUAUACAUGUGCUACAGGUUACUGAAGAGAUCAACGGGAAUCAAAGCGCUAGUUUGAUGGAAGUGUAUAAUGAGG
rnacentral:lncRNA from 1 species